rnacentral:lncRNA from 1 species
ACAAAUCAUUCAUCGCUUUCUUCGCAGUAUUGAAAUUAUUUUUAGGAUUUAAUAUUGUACAUUUUUUAGCAUUCGAAAAUAAAAAAUAUAUAUAAGUGUGGUUUUAGAAAGCAAUGGCUUAUUCACCUCUUAGACCUAAUUUUACAAAUAAAAAUAUAAAAUGUCUAUUUUUAGAAUUAAAAAAUUGGGUUAAUUGCAUAUAGGUCCCUGUAAAUAUAGCAAAAUAUAAAUAUAUUCCUACAAAGUUUAAUUUUAUAUGCUGUCUCUGUAAAAGUUCUGAUAUUUUCAAAUAUGUUCCUACCGUUAGAAUUAGUUAGAGAAAUUUAGUUAAUCAUAGGUUAAAUACUUAACUCCAGUUAGUUAAUGAGGUGAAUUGAUCUUUUUACCCCUUUUAAUGAGGUGAAUUGAUCUUUUUACCCCUUUUUAAUUAACAGUUGGGACUUUUGGAAGAAUAUAUAUUUGUGAUGGCAAAAAUGUCAUUUUACUUAUAAAAUAGAUAGUGUUUUAAUGAUAACAAAUUAGAAGAACAUAUUUGAAAAUAUUAGAAUUUUUAUAGGAACAAUAUAUGAAAGUUAAACUUUGUAGGAAUAUAUUUAUAUUUCACCAUUUUUAUAAGGACCUGAAUGAAAUUAAUCCAAACUAAAAAAAUUCUAUAAACAUAGUCACCCAAGUAGGCUCUUUUUUUUC